GAUGAACGCUGGCGGCGUGCUUAACACAUGCAAGUCGAACGGAAAGGCCCAAGCUUGCUUGGGUGCUCGAGUGGCGAACGGGUGAGUAACACGUGGGUGAUCUGCCCUGCACUUUGGGAUAAGCCUGGGAAACUGGGUCUAAUACCGGAUAGGACCAUCGUUUAGUGUCGGUGGUGGAAAGUUUUUCGGUGUGGGAUGAGCUCGCGGCCUAUCAGCUUGUUGGUGGGGUAAUGGCCUACCAAGGCGUCGACGGGUAGCCGGCCUGAGAGGGUGUACGGCCACAUUGGGACUGAGAUACGGCCCAGACGCCUACGGGAGGCAGCAGUGGGGAAUAUUGCACAAUGGGCGCAAGCCUGAUGCAGCGACGCCGCGUGGGGGAUGACGGCCUUCGGGUUGCAAACUCCUUUCGCCAAGGACGAAGCGUUUUGUGACGGUACUUGGAGAAGAAGCACCGGCUAACUACGUG
rnacentral:rRNA from 1 species